rnacentral:rRNA from 1 species
GACGAACCGUGCGAACGUUGUUCGGAAUCACUGGGCUUAAAGGGCGCGUAGGCGGGCCGCCAAGUCCGCGGUGAAAUCCCCCGGCUCAACCGGGGAACUGCCGCGGAUACUGGAGGUCUCGAGGGGGGUAGGGGCAUGCGGAACUGCGGGUGGAGCGGUGAAAUGCGUUGAUAUCCGCAGGAACUCCGGUGGCGAAAGCGGUGUGCUGGAUCCUUUCUGACGCUGAUGCGCGAAAGCCAGGGGAGCAAACGGG